AUAUUUGACAAAUAGGUUGGGGUUGUUAUGCAAGUGUCUGACACUUGAUUUUGAUAGCCUCUGAAAAGGGAAGUUGGUGAAAUUCCAGCACGGUCCCGCCACUGUAAACGUUGAGGAAGGCAAAUGUUUCCACUGUGUAUAAAAAAUAUACAUGGGAAGGACUGCUAACUGUUGAAGCGUAAGUCAGGAGACCUGCCUAUUUUGUGUUUAAGCU
rnacentral:ncRNA from 1 species